rnacentral:rRNA from 1 species
GUCAUACUAGAGUGAGCGAUGAGGAUCGUUUGCUGUUCUAUGAGGGACUGACUGGGGUUACCAGUAGGAAGUUUGAGGCAAUAACAGGUCUGUGAUGCCCUUAGAUGUUCUGGGCUGCACGCGCGCUACACUGAUGGAGGCAGCGAGUGUUGUCUGUGCCGGAAGGCAUGGGAAAUCUUGUGAAACUCCAUCGUGCUGGGGAUAGACCAUUGCAAUUAUUGGUCUUCAACGAGGAAUUCCUAGUAAGCGCAAGUCAUCAGCUUGCGUUGAUUACGUCCCUGCCCUUUGUACACACCGCCCGUCGCU